UCGAACGCUGGCGGCAGGCUUAACACAUGCAAGUCGAACGGGUGUAGCAAUACAUCAGUGGCAGACGGGUGAGUAACACGUGGGAACCUUCCUGGGGGUACGGAACAACUCAGGGAAACUUGAGCUAAUACCGUAUACGUCCGUGAGGAGAAAGAUUUAUCGCCCUUAGACGGGCCCGCGUCGGAUUAGCUAGUUGGUGGGGUAUCGGCCUAUCAAGGCGACGAUCCUGUAGCUGAUCUUAGAGGAUGAUCAGACACACUGGGACUGAGACGCGGACCAGACUCCUACGGGAGGCAUGCAGUGGGGAAUCUUGGACAAUGGGCGGCAAGCCUGAUCCAGACAUGCACGCGUGAGUAUGCUAGGUCUUCGGAUUGUAAA
rnacentral:rRNA from 1 species